UACGGAGGGUGCAAGCGUUAUCCGGAUUCACUGGGUUUAAAGGGUGCGUAGGCGGCUAAAUAAGUCAGUGGUGAAAGCCCGCAGCUCAACUGCGGAAUUGCCAUUGAAACUGUCUAGCUUGAAUCUGGUUGAAGUGGGCGGAAUACAUCAUGUAGCGGUGAAAUGCUUAGAUAUGAUGUAGAACACCGAUUGCGAAGGCAGCUCACUAAGCCAACAUUGACGCUGAGGCACGAAAAGCGUGGGUAGCGAACAGG
rnacentral:rRNA from 1 species